AUGAUUUUAAAAUCCUAUUUAAUUGUAAGUUUUCAGAAUUGUUCUUUAUUAAACUGGUGCAUGGGGAUUAAAAAAAAGGCUUAGCUUGGCCUCAAAACAUUGAUAAAUCUUUUUGGAAGACAUCCAAUUUGAACUCUGAAUUUGGAAUAAAUUAGAAAUCGAAUAUUAAAUAUUUAAUAGAAUAUAAAUUAGCAUAGACAAUAGAAAGUAAAAUGACUGUUGAUAGUCUUUUUAAACUGAAUACUUGAAAGUAUGCCAUGGUAUCGCCUGGUGACGGGCCGUGCCCCAUCUGAGCCCAGCAGAAUGCACUCUUAGUGCUGACUGUUUUAAAUCUUCUCUCUCACCUUCUGUAGGGUGGAUUGUGUCCUUUGAAUAUGAUCAAUGCACUAGACUUCUUCCAGAGCCACAGUGAAUUGUGUUUUUUUAAAUAUUUUGAAUAGGUUGCAAGAACACAGUGAGGGAGCUGGAAGUCUUGUGGGGUCUUUGAAAACAGCUGUUGUGAAAACACAUUUUGUUGUUUACUCUGUAUAGUAAAGAUUUCUCCAGAGUUCCUGAAUCAGCUCAGCCAUUAGCAACCUCCGAACUCCUAGCCUUCAAAAUUCCAGCCUCAGACCUCACGACUUCUGAACUCCUGGCUUCAGAACUCUCAGCCUUGGAUCUCACAGCCUCCGACUUGC